CUUGACUAGAUGGACCUUUGUUGACAAAGUAAUUAAUGACACUGCUUUUUAAUAUGCUGUCUAGGUUGGUCAUAGUUUUUCUUCCAAGGAGCAAGCAUCUUUUAAUUUCAUGGCUACAUUUACCAUCAGCAGUGAUUUU